rnacentral:rRNA from 1 species
UCGUGGGGUGACCUGUCAACUUGAUUGUGAUAACGAACGAGACCUUAACCUACUAAAUAGUCCGUAUUGCUUUGGCAGUACGCUGACUUCUUAGAGGGACUAUCGGUGUAAGCCGAUGGAAGUUUGAGGCAAUAACA